rnacentral:rRNA from 1 species
AAUCAGCGUCAGUAACAAAUUAAUAAUUACAACUUUCAACAACGGAUCUCUUGGUUCUGGCAUCGAUGAAGAACGCAGCGAAAUGCGAUAAGUAGUGUGAAUUGCAGAAUUCAGUGAAUCAUCGAAUCUUUGAACGCACAUUGCGCCCUUUGGUAUUCCAAAGGGCAUGCCUGUUCGAGCGUCAUUU